AUUGAACGCUGGCGGCAGGCCUAACACAUGCAAGUCGGACGAGUGGCGGAAGGGUGAGUAAUGUCUGGGAAACUGCCCGAUGGAGGGGGAUAACUACUGGAAACGGUAGCUAAUACAGCAUACCAUCGGAUGUGCCCAGAUGGGAUUAGCUAGUAGGUGGGGUAACGGCUCACCUAGGAGACGAUCCCUAGCUGGUCUGAGAGGAUGACCAGCCACACUGGAACUGAGACACAGCCCAGACUCCUACGGGAGGCAGCAGUGGGUAAUAUUGCACAAUGGGCGCAAGCCUGAUGCAGCCAUGCCGCGUGUAUGAAGAAGGCCUUCGGGUUGUAAAGUACUUUCAGCGGGGAGGCGUUACCCGCAGAAGAAGCACCGGCUAACUCCGUGCCAGCAGCCGCGGUAAUAC
rnacentral:rRNA from 1 species